UACAGAGGGUGCGAGCGUUAAUCGGAAUUACUGGGCGUAAAGGGCGCGUAGGUGGCUGAGCAAGUUGAGUGUGAAAUCUCCGGGCUUAACCUGGAGGCUGCAUUCAAAACUACUUGGCUAGAGUAGAGUAGAGGAAAGUAGAAUUUCCGGUGUAGCGGUGAAAUGCGUAGAUAUCGGAAGGAAUACCAGUGGCGAAGGCGGCUUUCUGGAUUCAUACUGACACUGAGGCGCGAAAGCGUGGGGAGCAAACAGG
rnacentral:misc_RNA from 1 species